rnacentral:rRNA from 1 species
AUGAGAGGGAAAAGAAUACUUUAUACACAUUGUCAUAAGGCAAGCAUUGGAACCUCCCAGGCAUACAGGCUCAUGCAAGUUAGCGAGGGUGGAAUUCCGAAUGUUGGGUGCACAAAGAGGGACUUGCAAAAUUACUAUCGCGGACUCAGGUAUAAAAUCAGAGACGCAUAUGCUCAAAUGUUUGUGGCCCAAUUAGCUAGAAAACAGGAAGUGAAUUCAACAUUUUUCUAUGAUUUUGAGGUGAAUGAUGAGGGGAACCUGGUGCGUGUGUUCUGGGCGGAUGCCACAAGUAGGAAGAACUAUAGUCACUUUGGUGAUGUGAUAUCCUUCGAUUCUACAUACACCACUAAUCAGUACAACAUGAUAUUUACACCAUUUACAGGGGUUAAUCAUCACUUACAAAGUGUCUUUUUUGGUGCUGGAUUCUUAUCAAAUGAGAAGGAUGAGUCAUACAUUUGGUUAUUUCAGACCUUCCUAAAAGCAAUGUGA